AACGAACGCUGGCGGCAGACCUAACACAUGCAAGUCGAGCGAGCAUUUCGGUGCUAGCGGCGGACGGGUGAGUAACGCGUGGGAACGUGCCCUUUUCUGCGGAAUAGUCCUGGGAAACUGGGGGUAAUACCGCAUACGCCCUUUUGGGGAAAGAUUUAUCGGAGAAGGAUCGGCCCGCGUUGGAUUAGGUAGUUGGUGGGGUAAUGGCCCACCAAGCCGACGAUCCAUAGCUGGUUUGAGAGGAUGAUCAGCCACACUGGGACUGAGACACGGCCCAGACUCCUACGGGAGGCAGCAGUGGGGAAUCUUAGACAAUGGGGGCAACCCUGAUCUAGCCAUGCCGCGUGAGUGAUGAAGGCCUUAGGGUUGUAAAGCUCUUUCAGCUGGGAAGAUAAUGACGGUACCAGCAGAAGAAGCCCCGGCUAACUCCGUG
rnacentral:rRNA from 1 species